CUGUUUUAAGAUGAGGUUUCAUUUGAGGUCCCCCAAAGACGAUGGGGUUGAUAGGCCAGACCUGGACGCACCGCAAGGUGUGAAGGCUACUGGUACUAAUAGACCAAAACAAACACACACACCC
rnacentral:rRNA from 1 species